CUACACAUCCAGUACACAGAGUACUCAUUUGGAGUCAUGUUUCUUGCUAAAUGAAUUAUGGAAGACCAAGGCUCCCUUUCUUUUAGCUCCGCUUUGGUCUUCACUGACUCCUGAAGGAAUCGUCUGUCUGCUGCUGGGCAGAAGCAUACAAAUUCCAUUGAAGAUGAAACACUUCAAUAUUCAGUAUGGUGAUAAAUAAUUCACAAAAAAGUGGAGUGAGGAAGAAAAUGGGAGGUUUGUGUACUGCCACGUCUCACACGAACACUGCUCCAACAAUCUACCAACUCCUGCCCUGCACUAACAAGACGUCUUGGAACCAAACACUGGGCGGUGAUUAAUGAAUAAUGUUGGCAAGGUGCAGUGGAGACUUCUGGGAAAUCACUAACAGAGGAAGAAAUGUCCAAGACAAACACAGCUAAGAGGAAUUACGAAUGGGCAAAACCUUCCAGAGCACAAUCAACUAUUGACUGAAAAAAAUUGACUGUGGUGGUAGAGAUCCGACGUGGGCACCUACCAUGACUCAAACAUGUCUUCAGAAUGGACUAGAAGUGAUUACAAAGGCCGCCACAUGAUGGACACCACCUGGGAAACAAGGUUGGCCCAAAACAACAUGGCGGCGAACUGUGACGGACGAGCUGAAACAGACUGAUCUGACAGGAGAGGUCCAACACAUAGCCCAGGACAGGCCCAGAUGUAAGCAGAUCAUAGAUGCCUUCAGCCCCUUAAGGGACAGAACUAACAGAUGGCAAGAGAAUCAAAACACGUUGAGAAGAUGGCAGAAGGAAGAACAACUGAGGCAACGGGAGAAGCGAGGCUUUGAUAGCGCCGGUGAACGAGAGGGUGUGGGCUCCAGAGACCAGUUAAAGCAGCGGAUGAGCAAUGAGCUGCUUCUUUCAUCUGUACUACACAUCCAGUUCCCACCACAUAGGUAUCAGUGUGCGGGACAUGAUGGAGAGGGCACUGCAUUGUGUGUAAGGCCAACCAUCUGGCGUCAUAAAAAAAACGCCAGGAACAGAGAGGCCCCGCAGAAUGUCCAUCAUGUGCGGCAAACACAAGAUACAUUGAAUAGUACUUGUCAGGACUGACUUGUGGGUUUUGCCCUAACAGCGAUUUCUGUCAGAGGUAGGGCAAACGCAUGAAAUAUUUCCUUUUUGAAACUCAAGAUGCAUCCUAUAUCUUAUUUGUUUAUGAAUUGAAAAACAAAGAUGUUUACGUUAUGUGCUCCAUUUCUGUCUUCUUGGUUAGAGGGAGAGAGAGAGAGGGAGAAACAUUUCCUGGGUUACAAUAAACAAACCAGGUUUGGGUUGGGCUUAGUUAGUUUUCUCUCAGGCUUGGUUGGGUUUAGACAUACAUUUGCAGGCACGCUCGCAUAGCAAACCAUGAAGCAUGUAAACAGGUGCUGAACCGACAGAAAACUGAUCCUCAUCCAUUUUAUUAGUUGAGUAACCCAUUGAGUCUAUUAUCAAGAAAAAAAACUGCUAACCAGUGCACUAUUUUCAUUGUAUGAUUCAUAUGUUUUGGUUUUGGACUAAAUAUAUUGUCAAGAUGUAACUUUGAAAUCUGAGGAGUUGUGAUGUUUUUUUUGUUACAUUUUAUAGACAUAUUAUAUUGAAUAAACCAAUA